UCAACUGUUUUCAAAAAAAAAAAAAAAAAAUUACAUCUCUACUCGAAUAGAUUAAAAAGAAAAACCUUUCACCCUCUCCUUCUGAUUCGAAAUUGAUUCGACUGAAAUUUGGUACGUUUAGAUCUUCAGGUGAAUUAACAUGUACGCGCCUUCAUGUGUAGCUAAGAAAUAACUCAACCGCUGCAAUUUGAUGGCGCUUUGUAACCGCUGAACCGAUUUUCGGACGAACUCCUUCUACAAUUUAUGAUGUACAUCUUGUUGAUUUACCCAAGGAGGAUGGAGGGACUUACAAUUUAUUCUUAGCCUCCUCCUGACAGGAUUAUGAGGGGAUUUGGACUUCAUGCCAGAAAUAUACGCGAAAACCAGUGAUGGGGAAGCGAUAGUGCAAUGAAGGUCGGAACAAAUGUGGAAGAUCAAAUCAGCUUAACGAUAAUAUCCUACGUCUAACUGGUCCAAAGCUUUCAGGUCAGCAACUACAGCGAAAACAAGAAUGGGAAACGAUAAUUCUGACACUCUCGUCCAGCCUCAUUUAUGGGCACAAUUGACCCUUACGAUAGCUCCCAGACGACUCUAGAGCUUAUACUACCAGAUCAAAGCUAUACGAAGCUGUCGAAAUGCAAUCCCAUCUUACAAACAGCGGUGUUAUAUUCACAGCAAAAGGAGAUGUACACGUAAAAUACGGAAACAAACCCCUAAUGACCAAAAAUUAGUGCGCAAAAGAAAAACAUCUAAGCCGCUACCUAUCUACCUUUGAGAACAGAACCCUAGAGACUUACGCCAAAAAAUUAAUAAAGUUAAUUACGAAAAAGUACUUUCAUGUUGUACCAAUAAAGAAGGGUAAUAUUCAAGAAAUUAAACUAACAAGCAAAUGUGCGCAUUGAAUAUCUGCCAUAACUUUCGCCCAAAUAAGGUUCAGAAAAAAAAUUGCAGUGGGGAAAAAAAUAAUUCAAUAUGCUUACUUUGGGAACACCUUUUCAGUGACUUCGAAAAGUCAGCUGAAAUAACCGAAGUUGAUGGUAGUACGUUAAAGUAAAGAUACCUCAUCAUACUUGAAGUUUUGAGUUUGGCUUGAAGUAGAUACCCUCUGCUUCCAACCGUCCAUAAACUCUAACUCACAGCGCGUUAGUAAUUUCAUUGGCCAUUUUGACAAUCGGUGAUAGAGCGAGGAAGCGGCUGCAGCUCGAAAUAAAUACUAUCGAAUUUAUAGAUCGGGUUUCGAUGAAAAAUUUUCAAGAAAAGAAUGCACCAUGAACAAUAUGAAUCGACUUUUGCUUAAGGCUGACCCUCUGUUAGUCAAAUUGCUCAGAUAUUGUUAACAUUUUAUUACAUCAAUCUUGAAUGUGUAAAUGGUUUAAGAAAAGGAUCAAAUCUACAACCGAUGGCCUAUACCGACGAUGAUGAUAUUGACAACACCGGACCUAACAACCGCGGCGUUAGUUCUGUUUCUGGGAAGAACAACUUGGUUUCCAAUGGAAUUCAUACUCCCGUAUCGAGUGCAAAUAAAAAAGUCGUAUGCUCAUAAAAAAAUGUAUAACUUCUGUAUAGUUAUAAGUAACAUGUUAGGU